GAUGAACGCUGGCGGCGUGCCUAAUACAUGCAAGUCGAGCGAACAGAUGAGGAGCUUGCUCCUCUGACGUUAGCGGCGGACGGGUGAGUAACACGUGGAUAACCUACCUAUAAGACUGGGAUAACUUCGGGAAACCGGAGCUAAUACCGGAUAAUAUAUUGAACCGCAUGGUUCAAUAGUGAAAGACGGUUUUGCUGUCAAUUAUAGAUGGAUCCGCGCCGCAUUAGCUAGUUGGUAAGGUAACGGCUUACCAAGGCAACGAUGCGUAGCCGACCUGAGAGGGUGAUCGGCCUCACUGGAACUGAGACACGGUCCAGACUCCUACGGGAGGCAGCAGUAGGGAAUCUUCCGCAAUGGGCGAAAGCCUGACGGAGCAACGCCGCGUGAGUGAUGAAGGUCUUCGGAUCGUAAAACUCUGUUAUUAGGGAAGAACAAAUGUGUAAGUAACUAUGCACGUCUUGACGGUACCUAAUCAGAAAGCCACGGCUAACUACGUG
rnacentral:rRNA from 1 species